rnacentral:lncRNA from 1 species
GUGCUCAUGCGAGAUCCAUGCGUAACGCUCUCGCUGGGAACCUCAGUCCCAGUUUAACUGCGUGUAACACGAGACCCCGAUGACAAUACACCCGAUGACUGAUCAGUGUUUAUUCGCUUCUCGCGCUCUGCCUCCAGGCGCGAGUCUGAGAACUGGUCCGUUGGUGGCCACUUGGCUACUGACCACCGAUCACCAUUCUAGAUGAUCUGUCCCCCG